UACGAAGGGGGCUAGCGUUGCUCGGAAUCACUGGGCGUAAAGGGUGCGUAGGCGGGUCUUUAAGUCAGGGGUGAAACCUGGAGCUCAACUCCAGAACUGCCUUUGAUACUGAAGAUCUUGAGUUCGGGAGAGGUGAGUGGAACUGCGAGUGUAGAGGUGAAAUUCGUAGAUAUUCGCAAGAACACCAGUGGCGAAGGCGGCUCACUGGCCCGAUACUGACGCUGAGGCACGAAAGCGUGGGGAGCAAACAGG
rnacentral:rRNA from 1 species